rnacentral:rRNA from 1 species
CCUACGGGCGGCAGCAGCUAAGGAUAUUCCGCAAUGGGGGAAACCCUGACGGAGCGACGCCGCGUGGACGAUGAAGGCCGGAAGGUUGUAAAGUCCUUUUGAUUGUGAAGAAUAAGCGAGACAGGCAAUGGUCUUGUGGUGACGGGAGCAAUUGAAUAAGCACCGGCUAAUUACGUGCCAGCAGCCGCGGUAACACGUAAGGUGCGAGCGGUGUUCGGAAUUAUUGGGCGGAAAGGGCAUGCAGGCGGCAUUGCAAGCCUGGCGUGAAAUGAAGGGGCUCAACUCCUGCGCUGCGCCGGGAACUGUGAAGCGUGAGUUUCUGAGGGGCAGCCGGAAUUCCACAUGUAGGGGUGAAAUCUGUAGAUAUGUGGAGGAACACCAAGGGCGAAGGCAGGCUGCCAGCGGAUGACUGACGCUGAGGUGCGAAGGUGCGGGGAGCGAACAGGAUUAGAUACCCGGGUAGUC